rnacentral:lncRNA from 1 species
AGUCUAAUGACAGUUUUGAUAGGUAACAAAGUUUAAAAUGUGCACUCCUACCGUUUUCUCUCCUCAAAGGCUGUUAGAAGUGGAGUUGGGCUGAAUUGGAAUUUGCUGUCAAAAUUUUUAGAAUAUUAUUUAUGUGUUUAAUUUGGGUAGAAUUUUCAUCUCCACAGUAUUCUGGAGUUCUCUGUGUCUCUCUAUCAAGCUUUCAGGCCACUGAUGCUGUUUUCUUAUGAGUCGGAUAUUUGCUUGUUAAUUUGCCUCUAAGUAGGCAUUCAG